rnacentral:rRNA from 1 species
GAACCUGCGGAAGGAUCAUUGUCGAUACUCGAGGAAAAAAAUUGAUGGAAAUUUGUCAUCAAAGUUGUGCCUGUUUGAUAAGGGUGGAUAGGAUCAGAUGGCAGCUGAUGUUUUGCACUCGUUCUCUAGCCAUCUUUAUCAUUCGGAUGUUGCCUGCCGUCCUCCCUGCAAUGGGUUAGCGGUAGAUGAUUUUACAAGUCUGACACGAUAUGUGUCAAGGAUCUUUAGUGCACUUAUGGCAUCCGUUGAGUUUUUUUGGCAACUCGACUUUUGGUUAUAAGAGCUAUCGAAGUGAUAUUUUUUUAUGACUCUCGGCAACGGAUAUCUUGGCUCUCGCAUCGAUGAAGAACGUAGCGAAAUGCGAUACUUGGUGUGAAUUGCAGAAUCCCGUGAACCAUCGAGUUUUUGAACGCAAGUUGCGCCCAAGGCCUUUUGGUCGAGGGCAUGUCUGCCUGGGCGUCAUGCCUCGUGUCACUCCAUAUAUCCCAUGUGUCGGACAUAUGGAUAGUUGGAAGUGGAGAUUGGUUUACCAUGUCUCUAAUGGUGUGGUGAGCUGAAGAAAGCGAAGCCAAUGUUGUUUACGGACACGACUUGUGGUGGGUGGACAAAUCUAUUGGCCGAGACCGAUGUCGUUCCUUUUCUUUGGCUUCUAUUAUGAAUACCCCUUUUGGGGACUAUAUCUCGCGUGCGACCCCAGGUCAGGCGUGACUACCCGCUGAGUUUAAGCAUAUCAAUAAG